rnacentral:rRNA from 1 species
GGAUUGAACGCUGGCGGCAUGCCUAACACAUGCAAGUCGAACGGGAGUAGCAAUACUCUAGUGGCGGACGGGUGAGGAAUACGUAGGAAUUUGCCCUUAAGUGGGGGAUAACCCGGGGAACCCGGAUUAAUACCGCAUGACCUCGAAAGAGCAAAGUGGGGGAUCGCAAGACCUCACGCUUUUGGAGAAGCCGACGUCGGAUUAGCUAGUUGGUGAGGUAAUGGCUCACCAAGGCGACGAUCCGUAACUGGUCUGAGAGGAUGAUCAGUCACACCGGAACUGAGACACGGUCCGGACUCCUACGGGAGCAGCAGU